rnacentral:rRNA from 1 species
GGGAUGAGCUUGCGUCCGAUUAGCUGGUUGGCGGGGCAACGGCCCACCAAGGCUACGAUCGGUAGGGGUUCUGAGAGGAAGACCCCCCACAUUGGAACUGAGAUACGGCCCAGACUCUACGGGAGGCAGCAGUAGGGAAUAUUGCACAAUGGGGGAAACCCUGAUGCAGCAACGCCACGUGUGGGAAGAAGCAUUUCGGUGUGUAAACCACUGUCGUGAGGGAAUAAUGUUGCGUUUCGGCGCAAUUGAAUGUACCUCGAAAGGAAGCACCGGCAAACUUCGUGCCAGCAGCCGCGGUAAUACGAGGGGUGCAAGCGUUGUUCGGAAUCACUGGGCGUAAAGGGAGCGUAGGCGGAGACGCAAGCAGUCUGUACAAUACCGGGGCCCAACCCCGGACCUGCAGACUGGACUGUUUCUCUUGGAUAGUUCAGGGGCAGGCGGAAUUCCUGGUGUAGCGGUGGAAUGCGUAGAGAUCAGGAAGAACACCGAUGGCGAAGGCAGCCUGCUGGGGACUUAUCGACGCUGAGGCUCGAAAGUGCGGGUAGCAAACAGGAUUAGAUACCCUGGUAGUCC